CCGCUCAUUUACGCGAUAUUAAGCUUUCCAGCGUAUUACUCUGAUUGUCCAUCUUUGGACGCCGAGUGGCUCCUGUCCACUCUGCUUUGACGCCUCCCUGUUAUCAACUUCAAAGCCGCCGGCAACGGCGGCUCUUUUUUU
rnacentral:sRNA from 1 species